UAUCUCUGUAGAGUCUGCAUAUCAAUAAGCGGAGGAAAAGAAACUAACUAGGAUUCCCUCAGUAACGGCGAGUGAAGCGGGAAGAGCUCAAAUUUGAAAUCUUCAAGGUUCUACCUUGACGAAUUGUAGUUUAAAGAAGUGUUUUCUGUUGGUAGUUUUGGUAAAAGUUCUUUGGAAUAGGACAUCAUAGAGGGUGAGAAUCCCGUAUUUGACCAUUAUUUCCAGCUUUGUGAUACACUUUCAAAGAGUCGGAUUGUUUGGGAAUGCAGUCCAAAAUGGGUGGUAAAUUUCAUCUAAAGCUAAAUACUGGCGAGAGACCGAUAGCGAACAAGUACCGUGAGGGAAAGAUGAAAAGAACUUUGAAAAGAGAGUUAAACAGUACGUGAAAUUGUCAAAAGGGAAGCGUUUGACACCAGUGUUGUUUUCUCGAAAAUCAAUUAAAAAAGGCAGGAUUUUGUGUUGUAUUGACUUUAUCAGCUUUCUGCACUCUUUUCUUGUCUUUUUUAAUGCACUUUUCGUUUAACAAGUCAACAUCAAUUUCUUUUGUUGUAAAAGGGUCAUUGGAAGGUGGCUUUCUUUUCGGAGAAAGUGUUUAUAGCCUUUGGCCUCUGCAAUCGGAGAGGUUGAGGUCUGCAGCGUAGAUCCUUCGGGGUUAGAUACAUUUGUGCUAAGUUAUAGCCUUUCAUAGACAACUUGUUGACUAUGAUCAGUCAUGUAGCUUACUCGCUUAUGCUAUUUUACCUACGCUUAGGAUGUUGAAGUCAUCGUAUCGCGC
rnacentral:rRNA from 1 species